rnacentral:telomerase_RNA from 1 species
AUAAGAGGUGCCGUAGGGUGGAGAAUUGAAAUUAUGAACCUAACCGUUCGAGGCCUACUGGUUGCUCUCGCUGGUAGGAUUAUCCUCGUCAGAGAGUUUGUUUACUGCGGCAUCUUUAAUUUUUUUG